rnacentral:rRNA from 1 species
UAGGGAAUCUUCCGCAAUGGGCGAAAGCCUGACGGAGCAACGCCGCGUGAGUGAUGAAGGUCUUCGGAUCGUAAAACUCUGUUAUUAGGGAAGAACAUAUGUGUAAGUAACUGUGCACAUCUUGACGGUACCUAAUCAGAAAGCCACGGCUAACUACGUGCCAGCAGCCGCGGUAAUACGUAGGUGGCAAGCGUUAUCCGGAAUUAUUGGGCGUAAAGCGCGCGUAGGCGGUUUUUUAAGUUUGAUGUGAAAGCCCACGGCUCAACCGUGGAGGGUCAUUGGAAACUGGAAAACUUGAGUGCAGAAGAGGAAAGUGGAAUUCCAUGUGUAGCGGUGAAAUGCGCAGAGAUAUGGAGGAACACCAGUGGCGAAGGCGACUUUCUGGUCUGUAACUGACGCUGAUGUGCGAAAGCGUGGGGAUCAAACAGGAUUAGAUACCCUGGUAGUCCACGCCGUAAACGAUGAGUGCUAAGUGUUAGGGGGUUUCCGCCCCUUAGUGCUGCAGCUAACGCAUUAAGCACUCCGCCUGGGGAGUACGACCGCAAGGUUG